UUAGCGGCGGACGGGUGAGUAACACGUGGAUAACCUACCUAUAAGACUGGGAUAACUUCGGGAAACCGGAGCUAAUACCGGAUAAUAUUUUGAACCGCAUGGUUCAAAAGUGAAAGACGGUCUUGCUGUCACUUAUAGAUGGAUCCGCGCUGCAUUAGCUAGUUGGUAAGGUAACGGCUUACCAAGGCAACGAUGCAUAGCCGACCUGAGAGGGUGAUCGGCCACACUGGAACUGAGACACGGUCCAGACUCCUACGGGAGGCAGCAGUAGGGAAUCUUCCGCAAUGGGCGAAAGCCUGACGGAGCAACGCCGCGUGAGUGAUGAAGGUCUUCGGAUCGUAAAACUCUGUUAUUAGGGAAGAACAUAUGUGUAAGUAACUGUGCACAUCUUGACGGUACCUAAUCAGAAAGCCACGGCUAACUACGUGCCAGCAGCCGCGGUAAUACGUAGGUGGCAAGCGUUAUCCGGAAUUAUUGGGCGUAAAGCGCGCGUAGGCGGUUUUUUAAGUCUGA
rnacentral:rRNA from 1 species